CGACUGCUAUCAGAGUAGGAUUAAGCCAUGCGAGUUAACGUAGUAAUACGUGGCGCACGGCUCAGUAACACGUAGUCAACAUACCCAGAGGACGUGGAUAACCUCGGGAAACUGAGUCUAAACCGCGAUAGGUCAAGAUUCCUGGAAUGGUUCCUGAUCGAAAUCUAUAUGGCCUUUGGAUUGGACUGCGGCCGAUCAGGCUGUUGGUGAGGUAAUGGCCCACCAAACCUGUAACCGGUACGGGCUCUGAGAGGAGGAGCCCGGAGAUGGGCACUGAGACAAGGGCCCAGGCCCUAUGGGGCGCAGCAGGCGCGAAACCUCUGCAAUAGGCGAAAGCCUGACAGGGUUACUCUGAGUGACUUUCGUUAAGAGAGUCUUUUGGCACCUCUAAAAAGGGUGUAGAAUAAGGGGUGGGCAAGUCUGGUGUCAGCCGCCGCGGUAAUACCAGCACCCCGAGUGGUCGGGACGAUUAUUGGGCCUAAAGCAUCCGUAGCCGGUUCUGCAAGUCCUCCGUUAAAUCCAACUGCUUAACAGAUGGGCCGCGGAGGAUACUACAGAGCUAGGAGGCAGGAGAGGCAAGCGGUACUCAGUGGGUAGGGGUAAAAUCCGUUGAUCCAUUGAAGACCACCAGUGGCGAAGGCGGCUUGCCAGAAUGCGCUCGACGGUGAGGGAUGAAAGCUGAGGGAGCAAACCGGAUUAGAUACCCGGGUAGUCCCAGCCGUAAACGAUGCAGACUCGGUGAUGGGUUGGCUUCGUGCUAACCCAGUGCCGCAGGGAAGCCGUUAAGUCUGCCGCCUGGGUAGUACGGUCGCAAGACUGAAACUUAAAGGAAUUGGCGGGGGCAGCACCACAAGGGGUGAAGCCUGCGGUUCAAUUGGAUUCAACGCCGG
rnacentral:rRNA from 1 species